rnacentral:rRNA from 1 species
AGUGAACGCUGGCGGUAGGCCUAACACAUGCAAGUCGAACGGCAGCACAGUAAGAGCUUGCUCUUACGGGUGGCGAGUGGCGGACGGGUGAGGAAUACAUCGGAAUCUACUUUUUCGUGGGGGAUAACGUAGGGAAACUUACGCUAAUACCGCAUACGACCUACGGGUGAAAGCAGGGGAUCUUCGGACCUUGCGCGAAUGAAUGAGCCGAUGUCGGAUUAGCUAGUUGGCGGGGUAAUGGCCCACCAAGGCGACGAUCCGUAGCUGGUCUGAGAGGAUGAUCAGCCACACUGGAACUGAGACACGGUCCAGACUCCUACGGGAGGCAGCAGUGGGGAAUAUUGGACAAUGGGCGCAAGCCUGAUCCAGCCAUACCGCGUGGGUGAAGAAGGCCUUCGGGUUGUAAAGCCCUUUUGUUGGGAAAGAAAAGCAGCAGGUUAAUACCCCGCUGUUCUGACGGUACCCAAAGAAUAAGCACCGGCUAACUUCGUG